rnacentral:rRNA from 1 species
UACGUAGGGUGCGAGCGUUAAUCGGAAUUACUGGGCGUAAAGCGUGCGCAGGCGGUGAUGUAAGACCGAUGUGAAAUCCCCGGGCUUAACCUGGGAACUGCAUUGGUGACUGCAUUGCUGGAGUAUGGCAGAGGGGGGUGGAAUUCCACGUGUAGCAGUGAAAUGCGUAGAGAUGUGGAGGAACACCGAUGGCGAAGGCAGCCCCCUGGGCCAAUACUGACGCUGAUGCGCGAAAGCCAGGGGAGCGAACGGG